rnacentral:rRNA from 1 species
GACGAACGCUGGCGGCGUGCUUAACACAUGCAAGUCGAACGGAAAGGCCCUGCUUUUGUGGGGUGCUCGAGUGGCGAACGGGUGAGUAACACGUGAGUAACCUGCCCUUGACUUUGGGAUAACUUCAGGAAACUGGGGCUAAUACCGGAUAGGAGCUCCUGCUGCAUGGUGGGGGUUGGAAAGUUUCGGCGGUUGGGGAUGGACUCGCGGCUUAUCAGCUUGUUGGUGGGGUAGUGGCUUACCAAGGCUUUGACGGGUAGCCGGCCUGAGAGGGUGACAGGCCACAUUGGGACUGAGAUACGGCCCAGACUACUACGGGAGGCAGCAGUGGGGAAUAUUGCACAAUGGGAGGAAGCCUGAUGCAGCAACGCCGCGUGCGGGAUAACGGCCUUCGGGUUGUAAACCGCUUUCGCCUGUGACGAAGCGUGAGUGACGGUAAUGGGUAAAGAAGCACCGGCUAACUACGUG